AUUGAACGCUGGCGGCAGGCCUAACACAUGCCAGUCGAGCGGAUGAAGGGAGCUUGCUCCUGGAUUCAGCGGCGGACGGGUGAGUAAUGCCUAGGAAUCUGCCUGGUAGUGGGGGAUAACGUCCGGAAACGGGCGCUAAUACCGCAUACGUCCUGAGGGAGAAAGUGGGGGAUCUUCGGACCUCACGCUAUCAGAUGAGCCUAGGUCGGAUUAGCUAGUUGGUGGGGUAAAGGCCUACCAAGGCGACGAUCCGUAACUGGUCUGAGAGGAUGAUCAGUCACACUGGAACUGAGACACGGUCCAGACUCCUACGGGAGGCAGCAGUGGGGAAUAUUGGACAAUGGGCGAAAGCCUGAUCCAGCCAUGCCGCGUGUGUAAAGAAGGUCUUCGGAUUGUAAAGCACUUUAAGUUGGGAGGAAGGGCAGUAAGUUAAUACCUUGCUGUUUUGACGUUACCAACAGAAUAAGCACCGGCUAACUUCGUG
rnacentral:rRNA from 1 species